rnacentral:rRNA from 1 species
UAGGGAAUCUUCGCAAUGGGGGCGAACCCUGACCGAGCAACGCCGCGUGAGUGAAGAAGGUUUUCGGAUCGUAAAGCUCUGUUGUAAGAGAAGAACGUGUGUGAGAGUGGAAAGUUCACACAGUGACGGUAACUUACCAGAAAGGGACGGCUAACUACGUGCCAC